AGCUCCAAUAGCAUAUAUUAAAGUUGUUGCAGUUAAAAAGCUCGUAGUUGGAUUUCUGGGAGAGAGCCAAUGUCCGCUGAUGCGUGCGCAGCGGCUCUCUUCCAUCCUUCUGUUAACGUUUCUUGGUAUUCAGUUACUGGUUUCGGGCUCAGAUAUUUUACCUUGAGAAAAUUAGAGUGUUUCAGGCAGGCUUGCGCCGGAAUACAUUAGCAUGGAAUAAUAGAAUAGGACUUGGGUCUCCUUUGUUGGUUUGAGGGACUUAAGUAAUGAUUAAUAGGGAUAGUUGGGGGCAUUAGUAUUUAAUUGUCAGAGGUGAAAUUCUCGGAUUUGUUAAAGACUAACUUAUGCGAAAGCAUUUGCCAAGGAUGUUUUCA
rnacentral:rRNA from 1 species